rnacentral:rRNA from 1 species
UACGUAGGGGGCAAGCGUUGUCCGGAUUUAUUGGGCGUAAAGAGCGUGUAGGCGGCCAGAUAAGUCCGCUGUGAAAUCUCGAGGCUCAACUUCGAGCUGUCGGUGGAAACUGUCUGGCUAGAGUCCGGAAGAGGAGAAUGGAAUUCCUGGUGUAGCGGUGAAAUGCGCAGAUAUCAGGAAGAACACCCGUGGCGAAGGCGGUUCUCUGGGACGGUACUGACGCUGAGACGCGGAAAGCGUGGGGAGCGAACAGG